rnacentral:rRNA from 1 species
AUGGGGCGAGUGGUGGUUUGCUUCUGUUUUGGCGGAGACCAUUGGCAAUUCAACUCAGAGAUUUUUUUUCGAAAAGGGGGAAUUCAACUCAGAGAUAAGGAUAAAAAUUUCAUAGAUGUUACCGUGGGAGAUGGCACGGAUGAGGUUUGGAGGUUUACACGGUUUUAUGGUGAGCCAAAGUGGGAAGAUAAACAUCUGUCAUGGUCAUGUUUGCGUGAUCUACAUCAACGAAUAAAACUCCCGUGGUUGAUAGCCGGGGAUUUUAAUGAGAUCUUAUACUCCCACGAGAAGGAGGGCGGUGCACCGAAGCCAAUGCACAUGAUGCAAAAUUUCAGAGAUGCCCUUGUUGAUUGCGAAUUGGAGGACAUGGGUUGUAGUGGUGAUUUAUGUACUUGGAGGAGGAGGAGGCUUAGAGAACGCCUCGACAGAGCGGUAUGCAAUGGUCAGUUCCAUGGGCUUUUUCCUGAAGCAAAGAUUACAAAUGCUGCACACACCAAGUCUGAUCACAGA